rnacentral:lncRNA from 1 species
GCGAACUCAGUCCCCCUUUCUGGUGCCAGGGUGUGCACGCGCUGUCUCUGCGAGUGCUGGGGCAGCUCGUGGCAGCCCUUCUCCGAGCGGAGCCGGCCCCUGUCUGCUUCAAGGACCUGGUGCAGCGAGGCCAUGCGUGCGAGCAGUUCGGCUCCCUGGCAGGACUGCUGGGGCCUCUGACAUGCGACGUGUCAGCCGUGUCCCGCCAGCGGGCAGCGACCUGCCUCGGCCGCCUGCUCCAAAUAGGAGCCAAGACCACGGAUGAGGCCGCCUGGAGCAGCGAGAUCGGGUGCCUGCAUGAGAGACUCAACGCUGUCACCUCCGAGUCUCUGCUCACGACCUCCACCAACAUCGCGAAGCUUGUUUGCAAAUCCUGCCCCGCAGCCCAGGCCACAGACUUCACGAGCGCCAUCGUGGAGAGCUUGCUGUGCGCCAGGCCCAUGGGUGUGUGGGCCGCUGGGCGGUGGAUGCUCACCUUUCUGGGGGAGCGCGGGGAGCA